rnacentral:rRNA from 1 species
CCUACGGGAGGCAGCAGUGAGGAAUAUUAGUCAAUGGACGAGAGUCUGAACCAGCCAAGUAGCGUGAAGGAUGACUGCCCUAUGGGUUGUAAACUUCUUUUAUAUGGGAAUCAAACGGUCCACGUGUGGGCUUUUGUAUGUACCAUCUGAAUCAUGAUCGGCUAACUCCGUGCCAGCAGCCGCGGUAAUACGGUGGAUCCGAGCGUUAACCGGAUUUAUUGGGUUUAAAGGGAGCGUAGAUGGAUUGUUAAGUCAGUUGUGAAAGUUUGCGGCUCAACCGUAAAAUUGCAGUUGAUACUGGCAGUCUUGAGUACAGUAGAGGUGGGCGGAAUUCGUGGUGUAGCGGUGAAAUGCUUAGAUAUCACGAAGAACUCCGAUUGCGAAGGCAGUUCACUGGACUGCAACUGACACUGAGGCUCGAAAGUGUGGGUAUCAAACAGGAUUAGAUACCCUUGUAGUC